rnacentral:misc_RNA from 1 species
CGAAAUGCGAUAAGUAAUGUGAAUUGCAGAAUUCAGUGAAUCAUCGAAUCUUUGAACGCACAUUGCGCCCGCCAGUAUUCUGGCGGGCAUGCCUGUUCGAGCGUCAUUUCAACCAUCAAGCCCCCGGCUUGUGUUGGGGACCUGCGGCUGCCCGCAGGCCCUGAAAAACAGUGGCGGGCUCGCUGUCACACCGAGCGUAGUAGCAUACAUUCUCGCUCAGGGCGUGCUGCGGGUCCCGGCCGUUAAACGACCUUCAUAACCCAAGGUUGACCUCGGAUCAGGUAGGAAGACCCGCUGAACUUAAGC